GCGUAGUUUAUGGGAUGUUACUCGUACCUGUUUUAUGCAAACUGUUCAAAUUAAGACGAGUUAAGGAUAGAGGGUGAGGAAUGUUUGGUUUUUUGUUGGUGGCAAAGCUUGCGGGUUAGGUUGAGGAGGGGGUUUCAUGUGGCCUCGAGCUGGGAAUGAAAUCAAUCACCAACAUACGGGGAACAAUAUGUGUGUAUAAAAUAAAAGGUUAAAAUGCAAUUUUUGCCCCAUAAGUUUCCUAAUUGCUCGAUUUUGGCCUCCUAGUUACAAUUGCUCGAUUUUAGUCCCCAACUUUUAUCCCCUUGUGCAAUUCGUGGUCCCUCUUGAUUAGUUUGACCAAAAACAUGCUGACAUAGAUAUGCUUUACACGUGUCCUAAUUUAAUUGGUCCACAUAAGUGUAUUUAUUUAUUUAAAAACAAAUUAAAACUAGGAAGCCAAAUAGGCAAAGUCACGUGAGUCUUAUUUUAUUUUUUGAGAAAAUAAAAAAUUAGAAAAGACAAAAAUUCAUUGUUGUCUUUCCUAAUUACUUCAUCAAAAAUAAAUCUCAGAGAUUCAACAUCUUCUUCUCAUCUCAUCUCAGAUUCUCAUAUUCUUCUUCCAAAUUAAUUUGGUACUCUAUCAAAUUGAACAAUUUUAAUGGGUUGCUUCCAUGUUUAACUCACUUCCUCUAAUUUCGUGGGUAGAGUUUGAACCCUAAAUUUAAUUUCUUCUUGGUGCGUAUUGUUUGAAGGUUGUGCAGCAGAAUGUCGAAGAUUUGUGUCGGUUCGUUUCACGUUACUAAUAGCUCGUGUGAAAUGAAAACGAAGAAAACACAUUUGGUAUCUUGUUGUGG
rnacentral:lncRNA from 1 species